ACUCCUACGGGAGGCAGCAGUGGGGAAUUGUUCGCAAUGGGCGCAAGCCUGACGACGCAACGCCGCGUGGAGGAUGAAGGUCUUCGGAUUGUAAACUCCUGUUGCCCGGGACGAAUGGCUCCGACCUAAUACGUCGGAGUGUGACGGUACCGGGUGAGGAAGCCCCGGCUAACUCUGUGCCAGCAGCCGCGGUAAUACAGAGGGGGCAAGCGUUGUUCGGAAUUACUGGGCGUAAAGGGCGCGUAGGCGGCCUGUUAAGUCGAACGUGAAAUCCCCGGGCUCAACCCGGGAACUGCGUCCGAUACUGGCAGGCUUGAAUCCGGGAGAGGGAUGCGGAAUUCCAGGUGUAGCGGUGAAAUGCGUAGAUAUCUGGAGGAACACCGGUGGCGAAGGCGGCAUCCUGGACCGGUAUUGACGCUGAUGCGCGAAAGCCAGGGGAGCAAACGGGAUUAGAUACCCCGGUAGUCCUGGCCCUAAACGAUGAAUGCUUGGUGUGGCGGGUAUCGAUCCCUGCCGUGCCGAAGCUAACGCAUUAAGCAUUCCGCCUGGGGAGUACGGUCGCAAGGCUGAGACUCAAAGGAAUUGACGGGGGCCCGCACAAGCGGUGGAGCAUGUGGUUUAAUUCGACGCAACGCGAAGAACCUUACCCAGGCUCGAACGGCAGCUGACAUCCUACGAAAGUAGGCUCCCGCAAGGGCAGCUGUCGAGGUGCUGCAUGGCUGUCGUCAGCUCGUGUCGUGAGAUGUUGGGUUAAGUCCCGCAACGAGCGCAACCCUUGUCUUCUGUUGCCAUCGGGUUAUGCCGGGCACUCUGAAGAGACUGCCGGUGACAAACCGGAGGAAGGUGGGGAUGACGUCAAGUUAGCAUGGCCUUUAUGUCUGGGGCCACACACGUGCUACAAUGGCCGGUACAAACCGUUGCGAUCUCGCGAGAGGGAGCUAAUCGGAGAAAGCCGGUCUCAGUUCGGAUUGUAGGCUGCAACUCGCCUGCAUGAAGUUGGAAUCGCUAGUAA
rnacentral:rRNA from 1 species